UGUGUGAGUAUACCAUCCUGCAAGUGCUUGAUUCCAUCAGAAGCUAAGCAGGGCUGGACCUGGAUAGUAGUUGGAUGGGAGACCCCCUUGGAAGACUAGGGGCCGCUAGAC
rnacentral:rRNA from 12 species